rnacentral:sRNA from 2 species
AAACAAGUUUUCUAGGGUUCCGCAGUCGCAAGACUGGUCUGGUCCGAGAGAAAACUCAUAGCCAAAUGGCUGUGACACGGAAGGAUAAAAGCCUGGGAGAU